rnacentral:rRNA from 1 species
UGGUAUCUAUAGCGUAGUGGUACCACCUUGAUCCAUCCCGAACUCAAUUGUGAAACGCUACAGCGGCGAUGAUACUGAAGGGGCAGCCCUUUGGAAAAAUAGCUCGAUACCAAGGC